GGUUAAGCGACUAAGCGUACACGGUGGAUGCCCUGGCAGUCAGAGGCGAUGAAGGACGUGCUAAUCUGCGAUAAGCGCCGGUAAGGUGAUAUGAACCGUUAUAACCGGCGAUUUCCGAAUGGGGAAACCCAGUGUGAUUCGUCACACUAUCAUUAACUGAAUCCAUAGGUUAAUGAGGCGAACCGGGGGAACUGAAACAUCUAAGUACCCCGAGGAAAAGAAAUCAACCGAGAUUCCCCCAGUAGCGGCGAGCGAACGGGGAGGAGCCCAGAGCCUGAAUCAGCAUGUGUGUUAGUGGAAGCGUCUGGAAAGGCGCGCGAUACAGGGUGACAGCCCCGUACACAAAAGCGCAUGUGCUGUGAGCUCGAUGAGUAGGGCGGGACACGUGGUAUCCUGUCUGAAUAUGGGGGGACCAUCCUCCAAGGCUAAAUACUCCUGACUGACCGAUAGUGAACCAGUACCGUGAGGGAAAGGCGAAAAGAACCCCGGCGAGGGGAGUGAAAAAGAACCUGAAACCGUGUACGUACAAGCAGUGGGAGCACAGGUUUACCUGUGUGACUGCGUACCUUUUGUAUAAUGGGUCAGCGACUUAUAUUCUGUAGCAAGGUUAACCGAAUAGGGGAGCCGGAGGGAAACCGAGUCUUAAUUGGGCGUUAAGUUGCAGGGUAUAGACCCGAAACCCGGUGAUCUAGCCAUGGGCAGGUUGAAGGUUGGGUAACACUAACUGGAGGACCGAACCGACUAAUGUUGAAAAAUUAGCGGAUGACCUGUGGCUGGGGGUGAAAGGCCAAUCAAACCGGGAGAUAGCUGGUUCUCCCCGAAAGCUAUUUAGGUAGCGCCUCGUGAAUUCAUCUCCGGGGGUAGAGCACUGUUUCGGCUAGGGGGCCAUCCCGGCUUACCAACCCGAUGCAAACUGCGAAUACCGGAGAAUGUUAUCACGGGAGACACACGGCGGGUGCUAACGUCCGUCGUGAAGAGGGAAACAACCCAGACCGCCAGCUAAGGUCCCAAAGUUAUGGUUAAGUGGGAAACGAUGUGGGAAGGCCCAGACAGCCAGGAUGUUGGCUUAGAAGCAGCCAUCAUUUAAAGAAAGCGUAAUAGCUCACUGGUCGAGUCGGCCUGCGCGGAAGAUGUAACGGGGCUAAACCAUGCACCGAAGCUGCGGCAGCGAACGUAUCACCCAAGACAACUUUACGGAGUUGACGAUUGACGGAGCGAAGCGACGUCAAAGCGUUCAUUAAAGUCGAGUUGGCUUAGGGAUACGUUCGUUGGGUAGGGGAGCGUUCUGUAAGCCUGUGAAGGUGUGUCGUGAGGCAUGCUGGAGGUAUCAGAAGUGCGAAUGCUGACAUAAGUAACGAUAAAGCGGGUGAAAAGCCCGCUCGCCGGAAGACCAAGGGUUCCUGUCCAACGUUAAUCGGGGCAGGGUGAGUCGACCCCUAAGGCGAGGCCGAAAGGCGUAGUCGAUGGGAAACGGGUUAAUAUUCCCGUACUUGGUGUUACUGCGAAGGGGGGACGGAGAAGGCUAUGUUGGCCGGGCGACGGUUGUCCCGGUUUAAGCGUGUAGGUGUGUGUUCCAGGUAAAUCCGGUUCACUUUAACACUGAGGCGUGACGACGAGGCACUACGGUGCUGAAGCAACAAAUGCCCUGCUUCCAGGAAAAGCCUCUAAGCAUCAGGUAACACGAAAUCGUACCCCAAACCGACACAGGUGGUCAGGUAGAGAAUACCAAGGCGCUUGAGAGAACUCGGGUGAAGGAACUAGGCAAAAUGGUGCCGUAACUUCGGGAGAAGGCACGCUGACACGUAGGUGAAGUGAUUUACUCAUGGAGCUGAAGUCAGUCGAAGAUACCAGCUGGCUGCAACUGUUUAUUAAAAACACAGCACUGUGCAAACACGAAAGUGGACGUAUACGGUGUGACGCCUGCCCGGUGCCGGAAGGUUAAUUGAUGGGGUCAGCGUAAGCGAAGCUCCUGAUCGAAGCCCCGGUAAACGGCGGCCGUAACUAUAACGGUCCUAAGGUAGCGAAAUUCCUUGUCGGGUAAGUUCCGACCUGCACGAAUGGCGUAAUGAUGGCCAGGCUGUCUCCACCCGAGACUCAGUGAAAUUGAACUCGCUGUGAAGAUGCAGUGUACCCGCGGCAAGACGGAAAGACCCCGUGAACCUUUACUAUAGCUUGACACUGAACAUUGAGCCUUGAUGUGUAGGAUAGGUGGGAGGCUUUGAAGUGUGGACGCCAGUCUGCAUGGAGCCGACCUUGAAAUACCACCCUUUAAUGUUUGAUGUUCUAACGUGGACCCGUAAUCCGGGUUGCGGACAGUGUCUGGUGGGUAGUUUGACUGGGGCGGUCUCCUCCUAAAGAGUAACGGAGGAGCACGAAGGUUGGCUAAUCCUGGUCGGACAUCAGGAGGUUAGUGCAAUGGCAUAAGCCAGCUUGACUGCGAGCGUGACGGCGCGAGCAGGUGCGAAAGCAGGUCAUAGUGAUCCGGUGGUUCUGAAUGGAAGGGCCAUCGCUCAACGGAUAAAAGGUACUCCGGGGAUAACAGGCUGAUACCGCCCAAGAGUUCAUAUCGACGGCGGUGUUUGGCACCUCGAUGUCGGCUCAUCACAUCCUGGGGCUGAAGUAGGUCCCAAGGGUAUGGCUGUUCGCCAUUUAAAGUGGUACGCGAGCUGGGUUUAGAACGUCGUGAGACAGUUCGGUCCCUAUCUGCCGUGGGCGCUGGAGAACUGAGGGGGGCUGCUCCUAGUACGAGAGGACCGGAGUGGACGCAUCACUGGUGUUCGGGUUGUCAUGCCAAUGGCACUGCCCGGUAGCUAAAUGCGGAAGAGAUAAGUGCUGAAAGCAUCUAAGCACGAAACUUGCCCCGAGAUGAGUUCUCCCUGAGACUUAGAGUCUCCUGAAGGAACGUUGAAGACGACGACGUUGAUAGGCCGGGUGUGUAAGCGCAGCGAUGCGUUGAGCUAACCGGUACUAAUGAACCGUGAGGCUUAACCUU
rnacentral:rRNA from 1 species